rnacentral:rRNA from 1 species
UACGUAGGGACCGAGCGUUGUCCGGAAUCAUUGGGCGUAAAGAGCGUGUAGGCGGCCUUUUAAGUCCUGCGUGAAAUCCUGCGGCUCAACCGCAGACGGUCGUGGGAAACUGGAAGGCUAGAGUGCGGGAGAGGAGAGUGGAAUUCCCGGUGUAGCGGUGAAAUGCGCAGAUAUCGGGAAGAACACCCGUGGCGAAGGCGGCUCUCUGGAACGCAACUGACGCUGAGACGCGAAAGCGUGGGGAGCGAUCCGG